UUCACAGAUACCUGCUUGGGCAUAACUAUUUGUAUUCAACUGGUAACAGACUAACUUCACUUUUGAUCCUAUCGGAGUAGACAGUCUGGAAUGUGGUGAUACUCUGUAGCUAUCAAAUCUGCAGGGCUUGGCCAUGGACUUGCAUAUCAUUGCUGAGAGAAGUCUCAACAGCAGCUUAAGUACUAUUGAAGACCUCAAGAUGACAAAUUUUCUCCAUCACUUCUAAGGCUGAAUUGUCAUAUCCAAUGUGCUUUAUGACUAUGCUUUGAUUUGUGCUGAUGGAUCUAAGGUGUGCACCUCUGGAGGCUUUGAGGUGGCUAUACUUCAGUUGUGGAUAAAGAGGUGAAGAAGGACAUCUAUGGUGAUGCUCAGUAAUAUCUGCGAAGAACUGUGGAGACAGACAAAUAGUCAAAGGUGAGGAGAAUACAGAUGACUUUCAGAAGAAGUGUGAACAUCAAGCUGAGGAGCUUUUUUGAAGAGCAGGAUCUUUCUAUCAACAUGGGAUAGUGGAAGAUUAAAGUAGUGAUGACUACAUAUAGAAAUACAAAGUUGAAGUGAGAGACGCAAGUCUGAUACUGCAAAAGAAAAAUGUAAGAAACUUAGGACUCAACUUUAUCAAUGAGUUCGUUCAACUAUAGAAAUGCACUAGGGACUGAAUGGUGUCCCCCCAAAAUUUAUAUGUCAAAGCUCUAAUCCUCAAUAUGAUGAUCUCCAGAGAUGGAACUUUGGGGUGGUAAUUGGGUUUAGAUGAGGUUAUGAGGAUGGGGUCCUCAUGAAGGGAUUAGUGCCCUUAUAAGGAGAGGCCAGAGUGCUCACUUGUUCGCAUAUGCUCUUGUAUUCUCUCUCUCUCCUCAACCCCCACCAUGUGAGGACACAACAAGAAGAUGGUUGUCUACAAGCCAGGAAGAGAACCUUCACAAGGAACCAAAUCAGCGGGCACCGUGAUCACGAGACUCCCAGCCUCCAGAACUGUGAGAAAUAAAUGUCUGCUGUUGAAGCCAUCCAGUCCACAGUAUUUUGUUACAGCAGCCUGAGCAGAUUAAAAUAAAGAAAUGUAACUUGUGAGAUAGACAGAAAGGUAAGAAAGAGAAAAUGCAACAUAAAGUCUAUGCUUAAAGGAGCGCUUAUUAGUAGUUAAGAUGAGCUAGGCAAAAUAUAAAUGGUAGAGAAAUGAAAGAUGACAACACUCAUAACUUGCUCAUUCAUGCAACAGAUACGUGCAGAGUAUCUAUUGAAGGACCCUGCACUGGUACUUAGGAAUCAAACUUAAAUCCCACCUUCAAAUCUGACAGAGAUAAGACAUAGACAGACUGUUUUUUAUUUGGGUAAAUUAUUCAUACCCAUUAAAAGAUCUGUAGAUAAAUGCCUUUGGAUUUCUAAGAGGGGAGAUAUUAUUUUCAACUGGGAGAAACACAGGAAUAUCAUUUUAUGUACUAAGUAGCAUUUGGUGUAGAGCUUAUAGAGAAAUAGAAUGUUCACAUGGAGAGAAUGCUGUAUGGGGAACUCCAGAUGGAAUAAUUGGUAUUAGCUCUGGUCCCAGAGUAGUGACUAUCUUUGCAGGAAACCUCAGGUGUAAUCUUAUGGACCUCUGGAAAGACUGUAACAAAAUAACUAUUUAUGGAGAUGACUGGCAAAGUUAAGGACACGGACAAGGGACAUGAGGGGCCUAGGGACAGGCAACAGUGAGAAGUCACUCCUAGGAAAGAGUGUUCAGGGAGCCAGUGAAGAGUGUAGCCAUGUAGAAAGAAUGGCCUGACAGAGCAUUCAUCCUAGAGGGAUGCAGCUGCUGCAAGAGCCAUGAUGCUGAUGCAGGAGGAGAAGAGGGAGACAGAAGGAGACAGGAAGAGACAGGAGGAAAAGCCUCAGCCUCUCCCUUCCCACUCUCCAACCUCCCUGCUUGAACGCUCACCAGCUGAUCCCAACAAGAAACACAGUCAGUAGGAACAGCUCUGGAGCACAGCUUGAGGUAGAAAAUGGAGCAGGGUAGGGACCAAGUGGAAAAUAAUUGCCAUAGCUACUGAGACAGGAGAGAAGAAAAUGUGUAUAUGAGAAAACAGUUUGUUUUGGCUAGAAUAAAUGAUGCAUGAGGGCAAAAAGCCAGAGUGUGCUUAUAAAAGUAAGUGGUAGCUGAAACUCAUCAGAAUAAUGACAAAAUAAAGGGAAACGAAAAGACGUAUGAAUCUGGUGCUUAACUCAUCAGGGAUGUUUGGCGCCUUUCCUGGAAAUUACAGAUAAAAGCAACAGGAGUGGAGAGAAAUGACAUCAGAACAUAAGAGGUACCACAAAAUAUGAGUUAGUUUUUAGAAAUGUGAAUGUAGCAGUGGCCAAGAAGAGGCAGUAGAGAGAAAGCAGUACUCUGAUUCCUCCAUCUCACUCAAUGAGGUGAACAGGAAGAAUGCCAUUUAUUUUCUCGGACAAAGGCAGCAUAGUCUUUAGACACUUGCUUGGAUCAGGAGGGACAGGCUACUUCCAUGAUUUGGGUCAUUGUGAGGGAAGUAGUUAAGAAAAAAAAAAGAAGGACAGGAGAUAAGGGAACUAUUUGCGGGACUAGUAGAAAGAAGGCAGCAGUGAGAGCAGGGACAGGUGGAACAGAGCUAAAGAGGAAAGAGAGAAGGAAAAGGGAUGGCAGGGGAUGGUGAUUUUUAAUGGCAGGAUCAGAGAGUCACGUUGUCGGAAAGUUGAACAAAUAUAUAUUAGCCCCUGUGGGAAUUCUAGAGAGGAAAACCAGCCAUGAGACCUUUCUAAGUAUAUACUCUUAAGAGAAAUAUUGAUGUAGUAUUCAACCUCAGAGGUUAAGGAAUAGUGGGUUUCAGGAAGGACCUGGAGGGUGGUCAGCUGCACACGUAGAGGUGUGCUGCAGCCAGCUUGUACCAGCUCCUGAGAAUCAAUUGUGCACAUCUCUUUCCAACUCUGGGCUCUGUGGCUUCACAUAAACACCAAAAUAUGUCAUGGUAGGUGUAGUUCUACCCAUAGAAACUGGCAAAUGCUACAGAUGAGGGUUCCCUUCUCACAAAGUCAACUAUCAACCCCAGAGCCUCUUAUUAAACCUUUACCAGCACACCACUGAUCUGCUGCAGCUUCAAUUUGAGGACAGGUUGUUGCAAUGAGCACUGAGGAAGGUGUUGCAUGAGAACAUGUUCAUGAAAGAAGCAGCACCCUCUGCCAAAGAUCACCGGGUGAGUGUGUGCUGAGCAGGUGCAGGCAUGGUCCUCCUUAAAAGACUGGAAUCAGAGGCUGCUCAUUGAUUAGAACUACAUUUUGAUCAAGCUGAGAGAAUUCCAGGUGAUACAACCUGGAAUAAGCUAAGCAAAUAAAAAUAAGUCAUCAACAACCUGUCAGGCAUGCGGAAUUCAGUGAAUAGAAAAUUAACCCAUUCCUCUGAACUAAGCAAUGCUUGAUUUAGCUUCAGUGAGCCUUACAAGUGGAAGCUGGCACUUUCUUCCUGUUUGUUUGUAUCUACUGCAAGAAGUAAAAAUACAUACCACCUACCUGAAGCCUGUCAUGGUACUUGUGUUUCUGUAGGAAUAUUUUCUACAACAUCUUAAGUUACUGCUAGAAAUUGCCAGCAAUUGUGUCUGUGUUUUCCCAUUUUUGAAAGAAAUUAAUACUCUCAAUGCCUUAGAGUUGCUCCUUCCCACCUUCUGAUGCCUUGUCCUGGGCUUAGUGGAUGUAAAUUAAC
rnacentral:lncRNA from 10 species